rnacentral:misc_RNA from 1 species
AAGGCUUGACAUAUGCCGGAAAACCCUGGAGACAGGGUCCCUCUUUGAGUCGGUGUACAGGUGGUGCAUGGCUGUCGUCAGCUCGUGUCGUGAGAUGUUGGGUUAAGUCCCGCAACGAGCGCAACCCUUGUCCUGUGUUGCCAGCACGCCCUUUCGGGGGUGGUGGGGACUCACGGGAGACUGCCGGGGUCAACUCGGAGGAAGGUGGGGAUGACGUUUACCGACAGCU